AGAGUAGCCACCGCAUACAAAAGCGAUACACACAUAUAAAAUGAGGCGAAACGGUAAUUACUCUUACCUCUCUUAUACCCAAACAGCACACACACAUAUAGGGCGGGUAAUAGAGCGGAGCGACCAUUAACUAUACCCACCUCAUACCCAAAUAAAAAAAAAAGGAAAAACUACUAAGAAAAAAAAAUAAAUAAAAAACUAGCUUGUUCAGGAUGUGACAAGAUAGGUCGACUUAAGUCCGUUCGAAUUGCCAUUUCUACUUCUUGUAAAAAAGGUUUUUUGUUCUAAUAUCUCGACUUUUGAAGAAUUGGACUUCAUUCUUCUUAUUUAAAAAUGUGGUAUAUAUUUUAAUUUUUCU